AUGGGCCUAGAAAUUAAUACGCUAGCAAUCACCCCCCUAAUGGCACAACAUCACCACCCUCGUGCAGUAGAAGCAACUACAAAAUAUUUCUUAACCCAAGCCACCGCCGCGGCAAUAAUCCUGUUCGCAAGCACAACAAAUGCCUGAAUAACAGGAGAAUGAAGCAUCAAUGACCUGUCGAACCCCAUCGCCAGCACAAUAUUUAUAGCUGCCUUAGCACUUAAAAUUGGACUUGCACCAAUACACUUCUGAAUACCAGAAGUUCUACAAGGAUUAGACCUGCUAACAGGACUCAUCUUAUCCACCGACCAAAAACUCGCCCCAUUCGCGCUUAUUAUCCAAACAGCACAAACCAUCGACCCACUGCUACUAACACUAUUAGGAAUUUCAUCCACAUUAGUUGGAGGAGAGGGGGAUUAAAUCAAACCCAACUACGAAAAAUCCUGGCCUACUCUUCAAUCGCACACAUAGGAUGAAUAAUUAUUGUAAUCCAAUACGCCCCACAACUCACCCUAAUUGCACUAGGAACAUAUAUUAUCAUAACCUCCGCAGCAUUCCUGACCCUAAAAAUAUCACUAACAACCAAAAUCAGCACACUCGCAACAACCUGAUCAAAAAGCCCUAUCCUGACAUCAACAACUGCCCUAGUCCUACUCUCACUAGGAGGCCUACCACCAUUAACAGGAUUUAUACCAAAAUGACUAAUUCUACAAGAACUAACAAAACAAGACCUCCCAAUUAUUGCCACAGCCAUAGCCCUAACCGCCCUAAUUAGCCUAUACUUCUACCUACGCCUAUGCUACGCAAUAACACUGACUAUUUCCCCCAAUAUGAUUAACUCAACAACCCCCUGACGAACCCAAACAACCCAAACCUCUCUACCCUUAGCCCUAUUUACCACAGCCGCCCUCGGACUCCUACCAAUAGCCCCAGCUAUCCUAAUACUAACCACCUAGGGAUUUAGGAUAACAUUAGACCAAAAGCCUUCAAAGCUUUAAGUAGAAGUGAAAAUCUUCUAAUCCCUGAUUAAGGCCUACAAGAUAUUAACUUGCAUCUCCUGAUUGCAAAUCAGACACUUUUAUUAAGCUAAGGCCUUACUAGAUGGGAAGGCCUCGAUCCUACAAACUUUUAGUUAACAGCUAAACGCUCAAGCCAGCGAGCAUCCAUCUACUUUUCCCGCCGUUUAACUCAGUAAGGCGGGAAAAGCCCCGGCAGAAUAUUAAUCUGCGUCUUCGGAUUUGCAAUCCAAUGUGUUCUUCACCACGGAGCUGAUAGGAAGAGGACUCAAAAACCUCUGUCUUCGGGGCUACAACCCACCGCCUAAGCACUCGGGCUACCCUACCUGUGGCAAUCACGCGCUGAUUCUUCUCUACCAACCACAAAGACAUUUGGCACCCUUUAUCUUGUAUUUGGUGCCUGAGCCGGAAUAGUAGGAACCCGCCUUAAGCCUCCUCAUUCGGGUCGAACUUAGCCAACCCGGGUCGCUUCUAGGUGAUGACCAAAUUUAUAACGUUAUCGUCACUGCCCACGCCUUUGUAAUAAUUUUCUUUAUAGUAAUGCCUAUCCUUAUUGGAGGAUUUGGAAACUGACUUGUACCACUAAUAAUCGGAGCCCCAGACAUAGCAUUCCCACGAAUAUAAUAACAUAAGCUUCUGACUACUACCCCCAUCAUUCCUUCUACUCCUAGCUUCUUCUGGUGUUGAAGCUGGAGCUGGAACAGGAUGAACCGUAUACCCACCUCUUGCAGGGAACUUAGCCCACGCAGGAGCAUCAGUAGACCUAACAAUUUUCUCACUUCACCUAGCAGGUGUUUCAUCAAUUCUAGGGGCAAUCAACUUUAUUACUACAACCAUCAACAUGAAACCCCCAGCCAUCUCUCAAUACCAAACACCCCUGUUCGUCUGAUCCGUGCUUGUAACCGCCGCCGUAUUGCUCCUUCUAUCAUUACCUGUUUUUUAGCCGCAGGAAUUACAAUGCUCCUAACAGACCGAAACCUUAAUACCACAUUCUUUGACCCGGCAGGAGGAGGAGACCCAAUCCUUUAUCAACACUUAUUCUGAUUCUUCGGCCACCCAGAAGUUUAUAUUCUCAUCCUCCCAUGAUUCGGUAUCAUCUCCCAUGUUGUAGCCUAUUAUUCAGGCAAAAAAAGAACCGUUCGGUUACAUAGGAAUGGUCUGAGCCAUGAUGGCCAUCGGUCUACUAGGGUUUAUUGUGUGAGCUCACCACAUGUUCACUGUUGGAAUAGACGUAGAUACUCGAGCAUAUUUUACAUCCGCAACAAUAAUUAUCGCAAUUCCAACAGGUGUAAAAAGUAUUUAGCUGAUUAGCCACACUCCACGGAGGAUCCAUUAAAUGAGAAACACCAAUACUAUGGGCUCUAGGGUUUAUUUUCCUAUUCACAGUAGGGGGGACUCACAGGGAUCGUCCUAUCCAAUUCAUCACUUGAUAUUGUCCUUCACGACACUUACUACGUAGUAGCACACUUCCACUAUGUACUAUCAAUGGGUGCUGUAUUUGCUAUUAUGGCAGCCUUUGUGCAUUGAUUCCCCCUAUUAACUGGAUAUACUCUCCACAGCACCUGAACAAAAAAUCCACUUUGGAGUUAGUUUUAUUGGAGUUAACCUCACGUUCUUCCCACAACACUUCCUAGGCUUAGCCGGUAUGCCACGGCGAUACUCCGACUAUCCAGAUGCCUACGCCCUGUGAAAUACAGUAUCAUCCAUUGGAUCGCUAAUUUCCCCUAGUAGCAGUAAUCAUAUUCCUAUUUAUCCUAUGAGAAGCCUUCGCCGCUAAACGAGAAGUACUAUCUGUAGAACUAACAGCAACAAAUGUAGAAUGACUUCACGGCUGGCCUCCUCCUUAUCACACAUACGAGGAACCAGCAUUCGUUCAAAUUCAAUCAAAAUUAACGAGAAAGGGAGGAAUUGAACCCCCAUAUGCUGGUUUCAAGCCAGCCACAUAACCACUCUGUCACUUCCUUCUAAA